AGGUUGGGUGACAAUGUCCUCCAGAAGGUACCAUGACGUCACACCCUCACUUUCACCCCCCUAAGCAUAUGGCAAUAACAAAAUGGAUAUGUAUUUUUCUAUUAACAGGAGUCAGAAUGCAGUUGUAUACAGGAAUUGGAAUGUGUUAGCUGCUAGGAGAGAGAAGCCAUUGAUUCCUGCAGCAGUGUGACUAAUUAGGUUUUCUUUUGUGAAGGAAUUAGUUUGUAUUGAUUCAUUUAUGUCU
rnacentral:lncRNA from 1 species